UACCUGGUUGAUCCUGCCAGUAGUCAUAUGCUUGUCUCAAAGAUUAAGCCAUGCAAGUCUAAGUACGAGCUCUCGUACAGUGAAACUGCGAAUGGCUCAUUAAAUCAGUUAAGGUUCAUUUGAUCGUACAGUUUACUUGGAUAACUGUGGUAAUUCUAGAGCUAAUACAUGCGAGAAGCGCCGACCUCGCGGGAGGCGUGCAUUUAUCAGACCAAAAACCGGCCGCGUCUUCGGGCGCGUUCGCCUUGGUGACUCUGGAUAACUUUGCGGAUCGCACGGUCUAGCACCGGCGACGGAUCAUUCAAGUGUCUGCCCUAUCAACUUUCGUCGGUACGGUAUUUGCCUACCGAGGUUCUUACGGGUGACGGGGAAUCAGGGUUCGAUUCCGGAGAGGGAGCCUGAGAAACGGCUACCACAUCCAAGGAAGGCAGCAGGCGCGCAAAUUACCCAUUCCCGACGCGGGGAGGUAGUGACGAAAAAUAACAAUGCAGGACUCGUUCGAGGCCCUGUAAUUGGAAUGAGUACACUUUAAAAGCUUUAACGAGUAUCCAUUGGAGGGCAAGUCUGGUGCCAGCAGCCGCGGUAAUUCCAGCUCCAAAAGUAUAUAUUUAAGUUGUUGCGGUUAAAAAGCUCGUAGUUGGAUUUUGGGCGCCAGCGGCCGGUCCGUCCAAGGCGUGUACUGGACGUCCUGGCCUUCCCUCCGGUUCUCCGCCGGUGCUCUUGACUGAGUGUCGGCGGCGGCCGGAACGUUUACUUUGAAAAAA
rnacentral:ncRNA from 1 species